rnacentral:rRNA from 1 species
CCACGCCGUAAACGAUGAGCACUAGGUGUCGGGGUAGCAAUACUUCGGUGCCGCAGUUAACGCAAUAAGUGCUCCGCCUGGGGAGUACGCACGCAAGUGUAAAACUCAAAGGAAUUGACGGGGACCCGCACAAGCAGCGGAGCAUGUGGUUUAAUUCGAGGCAACGCGAAGAACCUUACCAGGGCUUGACAUCCUCUUGCAAGGCCGAGUAAAAUUGGCCCCUCUUCGGACAAGAGAGACAGGUGGUGCAUGGUUGU